GUAAGUUAACGUUACAGUCAGUCAGUCAGUCAGUCAGUCAGUCAGUCAGUAAGUAAGUGUAAGGCUCAUAAAGAAAAACAGCGUUUUAAAAAUGUCAGCUGUAUAACGUUAUUUCACGUUUGGUAGUUUUAUCCGAGUUGAAAACUGUCAGCUUUGAGUUGACUUUUGAGGCACUUUUUACUCAGCUGUUCUAUGGAAACGGUUCAGGACAAAUAAAACGCUAACCAAACGUUAUUCUGUCCAGAGUAAUGUUAUCCAUGUAAGUAAUUUACCAGAUGAUAUCAAUUGACUACAUUAAUAAUGACAUUGCGUAUUAAACAAACUGUCUGCUUAAUCAGAUUAUCAGACCCGCGUCAGUUAUUCCUGACUUCGCUACGCCACGAGCAACACUUGAUUCUAUUAGAAAAAGCUUUUUAAAAUGUCUCGCGUGACGUCUGGUAUAUUAAUUAACUGAAAAAAAUCGCUUUGUAGUGGCCACACCUUAAAGCUGACGUUUUCAGAAGAGAACCUUGUUGUUUUAAGAACUAAUUUUGUCCAAAAUUGCGUCCUAUGACAGAUAUAAUACUUAUUUCAUUAUUGCUCUGUGUAUGUGUGACCUUCAUCAUUUGAGGUUAUGUGUUGAUUUCACCUCUGAAUAUUUCCUCUUAUAGGUCCAUCAUCCUUGCAUGCGCUACACACUCAAAAGCAUUGAUAAAUGCUGAAUUUAAAAGAAUCACUACUGUCUAAUGUUCCUGUGUGUCACCUGGACCUCCAAUCCAAAAACCUGAUGAAACUCUUCAGAAAGGAGGACAGCUAGCAAAAAGACUUGGAACAAUUAAUGAUCAAAUGACAGAAGGCAUGGAUGAAGACAGCAUCAGUGUGGUCAUUUGAAGACACCAAUGUUGGGAUUUUUGCUCUCAAACAACAUGCUUCUUGUGAUGAAGAAGAGGAUCUUUGUAUAGUCCUGGAAGGCAUGAAGGUGUUGCAACAUCGUGUUUGAGCUGAUGUAUGCCUUAAACCUGAGCUAUCCUGAUCUCCGCUUUAUUUUUGAGGAAAUCCAAAAGAUUUUAAUGGAACUGCAUUGAGCGUAACUUUAACGAACAGUUUCUUUCAGUGAAAGGAUCAGAAAGACUGUGCUGCUCAUUUAUGUUCUUUUUAUUUAUCUGUUUUAAAGGCGAAGUCCACGAUGUUUGAAAGCCAAUGUUGAUAUUUGAAAUCACCCAAACAAACACGCCCCUACCCCAAUAGAAUCUGGACCUUCUGUUGAUAGACCCACCCCACACAUACGCAACCCGGCAUUUGAUUUGAUUUGAUUGGCUAUAAGUGUGUUUUGGUAGUCGGCCCGUCUUCUUUUCCAACGCGUUUUUCAAACAUCGUGGACUCCGCCUUUAAGUGUUUUCUCUUAUUAAAACAUUAACAGUUUGCUGCUCAGAGUUGAUUUUGGAAAUGGUUGUUGUAUUUUGUUUUUGUUGAAUCUUUGAUUAUCAGUUUAUACAAAUGCUGUAGCUCUGACUUUCUGAAGGAUUGAUAUUUUCCAGUUUGUAAAUCUAUUUAAAAAAUAAUAGUACUUUCUGUUUUGCAUGUCUAUUUGAAAUGCAGUGUUUGUGUUUUAGCACUUCUAAAUCUACUGUGAUAGUAACUAUUUUAAACAUUUGGGUCAGUUUUACAGAUGGGGCUUUUCCUAGUCCCAGACUUUUGCAAUGCCUUAAUUUGAAAACAUAUUGCACUGACAUAUCUUGACAUAUAUCAGUGCCAUUGUUUUGUCUCAAGAUGUACUCCAGUGUUGUUUUUGUAAGGUAGGUUUGUUUGUAAAUUUUUUUGUAAAAAAUAUUCUAAUAUAACUAGAACCUAGUCAUGGAUUAAUCUACAACCUGUCUGGGAAAUUGCCCCUUUGUAUGUACUGCAUGUGCUGAUUGUUGUAAUAGUUAUUGGCUGUUAUUGAAUUAAUGUGUAGUGAUUUAAAUGAAUUGAUGAUCUGAAAGCAGUGGUUUCCCUCAAUAUCACUAAACAUUUGUACAAAACUCUUUGCUUUUUAUGCCAAUGCAAAUGUAUUUUGUAUUUAAAAAAGAAAUAAAUAACAUUUGGAUAAUUAUGGGUGAUUAUUCUGGUGCCAGAGACCUAAUGAAAUUGCUUUAGAGUUACAUAAUCCCAUAAUAUAAGCAUUAAAAAACCAUGUUGGAAUUACAGAUGAAAAUCUAGUCCCCUUACAUAAUAAAAUUACUUAAACAUUACAAAAUAAAUGUGUUAUAGUAAAGAGAAAUAGCACUUUGAGUCAACAUAUUUAUAUUAGACUACUUAAAACAAUUAAAAUGUUUUGGUCUGACACAUAAAAAUUAAAUGAGGAAAAUUAUUUUGG